UUCCAGCACCCCGAGUGGUCGGGACGUUUAUUGGGCCUAAAGCAUCCGUAGCCGGUUCUACAAGUCUUCCGUUAAAUCCAGCUGCUUAACAGAUGGGCUGCGGAAGAUACUAUGGAGCUAGGAGGCGGGAGAGGCAAGCGGUACUCGAUGGGUAGGGGUAAAAUCCGUUGAUAUUCGGAAGAACACCAGUGGCGAAGGCGACUCACUGGACACGUAUUGACGCUGAGGUGCGAAAGCGUGGGGAGCAAACAGG
rnacentral:rRNA from 1 species